GAGAACAUGCAUUAAUUGAGCGCUGCAUAUACGUGUUGUUUAAUCAUCAUAGUCGUCAAGAUUAAGUAUACAGGAGAAGUUUGGUUACAAACAAAGGUAAAACUUUAAAUGCUCGUGACCACAGCAAUCAACAUGCUUUAUUUUGCCUUAUCCCAAUUGAAUAAAUCGCUCGAAGUCGGAAAAGUUGUUUCAUUUGAAAUCAACUGUGAGAAUAAAACUCUUGCAUCAGUGUCCGGUGGAUUUGCAG